rnacentral:rRNA from 1 species
GAUGAACGCUGGCGGCGUGCCUAAUACAUGCAAGUCGAGCGAACGGACGAGAAGCUUGCUUCUCUGAUGUUAGCGGCGGACGGGUGAGUAACACGUGGACAACCUACCUAUAAGACUGGGAUAACUUCGGGAAACCGGAGCUAAUACCGGAUAAUAUUUUGAACCGCAUGGUUCGAAAGUGAAAGACGGUCUUGCUGUCACUUAUAGAUGGAUCCGCGCUGCAUUAGCUAGUUGGUAAGGUAACGGCUUACCAAGGCAACGAUGCAUAGCCGACCUGAGAGGGUGAUCGGCCACACUGGAACUGAGACACGGUCCAGACUCCUACGGGAGGCAGCAGUAGGGAAUCUUCCGCAAUGGGCGAAAGCCUGACGGAGCAACGCCGCGUGAGUGAUGAAGGUCUUCGGAUCGUAAAACUCUGUUAUUAGGGAAGAACAUAUGUGUAAGUAACUGUGCACAUCUUGACGGUACCUAAUCAGAAAGCCACGGCUAACUACGUG